GACGAACGCUGGCGGCGUGCUUAACACAUGCAAGUCGAACGGAAAGGCCCGGCUUUUGUGGGUUGCUCGAGUGGCGAACGGGGGAGUAACACGGGAGUAACCUUCCCUUGACUUUGGGAUAACUUCAGGAAACUGGGGCUAAUACCGGAUAGGAGCUCCUGCUCCAUGGUGGGGGUUGGAAAGUUUCGGCGGGUGGGGAUGGACUCGCGGCUUAUCGGCUUGUUGGUGGGGUAGUGGCUUACCAAGGCUUUGACGGGUAGCCGGCCUGAGAGGGUGACCGGCGUCAUUGGGACUGAGAUACGGCCCAGUCUCCAACGGGAGGCAGCAGUGGGGAAUAUUGCGCAGUGGGCGGAAGCCUGAUGCAGAAACGCCGCGUGCGGGAUGACGGCCUUCGGGUUGUAAACCGAUUUCGCCUGUGACGAAGCGUGAGUGACGGUAAUGGGUAAAGAAGCACCGGCUAACUACGUG
rnacentral:rRNA from 1 species